rnacentral:sRNA from 1 species
GCUUUUCAGAACAAUGGCUUAGCCAGGAGGGUGGUGCUGGGUUUUUCUUUAUCGGCUUGGGUGUGGAAUCGCGGACUGCGCCCCUCCAAUCUGAUCUGGAGAGUGGCUGACUGCGUGUGCAGAGCUCUGGGGGUGUUGGUCUGGGAUUGUGCCAUCAGCUUUGCAAGCAAGCGCCAUGAGCAAGAUCAGCGAGGCCGUGAAGCGCGCCCGCGCCGCCUUCAGCUCGGGCAGGACCCGUCUGCUGCAGUUCCGGAUCCAGCAGCUGGAGGCGCUGCGGCGCCUGAUCCAGGAGCAGGAGCAGGAGCUGGUGGGCGCGCUGGCCGCCGACCUGCACAAGGUGCUCGGGCUGGGCGGCCGCCUUCUGCCAGUGUCGGGGCCAUGCGAUGGGGCGGGGGGCGGGGGAGAGUGCGACCCAGAGAGGUUCAGGAAGGACUCCCCUCGGUCGCGGAGACUGGGCGCACCG